CGGGAAGUAUUUCAAUUGGUAGAUGGAAUGCUUUGGGAGCAUUUGGCUGUAGGUUCGAGUCCUGCCUUCCCGA
rnacentral:tRNA from 1 species